AUGCCAGAAGAAUGGAGACGGAGUAUAUUAGUACCAAUCUUCAAGAACAAGGGGGAUGUUCAGAGUUUUACUAAUUACCGUGGAACUAAGCUGAUGAGCCAUACAAUGAAGCUAUGGGAGAGAGUCAUUGAGCACCGCUUAAGAAGAAUGACAAGCGUGACCAAAAAUCAGUUUGGUUUCAUGCCUGGGAGGUCGACCAUGGAAGCCAUUUUCUUGGUACGACAACUUAUGAAGAGAUAUAGGGAGCAAAAGAAGGACUUGCAUAUGGUGUUCAUUGACUUGGGGAAGGCCUAUGAUAAGAUACCACGGAAUGUCAUGUGGUGGGCCUUGGAGAAACACAAAGUCUCAGCAAAGUACAUUACCCUCAUUAAGGACAUGUACGAUAAUGUUGUGACAAGUGUUUGA
rnacentral:rRNA from 1 species